UGGGAAUAUUGCACAAUGGGCGCAAGCCUGAUGCAGCAAUGCCGCGUGAGUGAAGACGGCCUUAGGGUUGUAAAACUCUUUCGCUAGGGAAGAUAAUGACGGUACCUAGUAAAGAAGUCCCGGCUAACUCCGUGCCAGCAGCCGCGGUAAUACGGAGGGGACUAGCGUUGUUCGGAAUUACUGGGCGUAAAGAGUUCGUAGGCGGACUAGCAAGUUAGAGGUGAAAUCCCAGGGCUCAACCUUGGAACUGCCUUUAAAACUGCUAGUCUAGAGACCGGAAGAGGUUAGGGGAAUACCUAGUGUAGAGGUGAAAUUCGUAGAUAUUAGGUGGAACACCAGUGGCGAAGGCGCCUAACUGGUCCGGUACUGACGCUGAGGAACGAAAGCGUGGGGAGCAAACAGGAUUAGAUA
rnacentral:rRNA from 1 species